AUUAGGUAGAUCAGAGUCCUAAAAGCCCUCUUGUUUCAUUAUUGCGUAUAUUUUUCCUUGUGGGGAUUUUAAAGAAUUUGAUGGUAUAGUCAGAGAUAAUGUAAAAAGCAAUGUCUGGUAAUAAUUUAUUAAUGUGAUUAGUUCUAUGGAAGACUCAGGGAACAAUUACUUUUAGGGGGUCCAUUGGGUAUAGGUGUGUAAGUGGAUAGAAGAAGGGGUGCUCAUGUUGUCAGUGAUUGUGGUAAAAGCUAUGUUGUACCAAGGGAGUCUUAACAUUUCAUUCAUGAUUGAAAGUAAUCAAGAAAAGCUGGUGUUUCAGUCAGGAUUCAUUUGGUUAUAAAUGAUGACAAAACAAAUCAGACUGUCUUUAAAAAAGAUAACAUUUAUUGACACAUGUAAUUGAAAAUUCUAGUUCUUCAGGCAUAGUUGAAUCCAGGUGCUCAAAUCAUGUUACCACGUUGGAGUCACUCUAAGGAAUGCUUUUUCUAAAUGGUAGUAAAGAAGGUCUCUGGCAACUCAAGGCUUUUGUAGCUCUUACAACUUAACAUUUUAGAGAACCCAGAAUACAUUCUUUUCUAAAAGCUUCAGCAAAAUUCCUGGAGGUUAUUCUCAUUGGGCUUAUUUAGGUCAUUUAAUUAUCCCCAAACCAUUAACUGUGGCCAGAAGGAGGAUGUGUUCUAAUUAUCCAGGUCUGGGCAAUAUUCUUAGCCCUGGAACUGAGAGGUAAGGUCAACUCCAAGUGUUGAUUAAAAAUGGUGGCAGAGUGGUUUCUUUCAGGAGAGCUUCAAGACCUGUUUCAUUACGAUUGCUUAUUAGUCUUCUGGGAUCCUAGGAGCAAAGAGUGGGAUGCUUCCUGAAUAGAGAUUUGGGUGGGAAAUUUGAAUCGAGACCCAUUUUGCCAUUUUCACUAAAUGAUCAUGGGCGGGUACUUUCUCUCAUGGGGUCUGAGAUUCCUUAUUUGUAAAGUGAAGAGCUUGGAUGAGGUGAUUCUGAUAAUCCUAUCUGGCUCAAAGCUUCUACAGUUUUCUCUUUACCCUUGCUAGAAGGAUUAUUGUAAACAUCCAGGGGGAAAAAGUAUGUAAUGUGCUCCAAACUGGAGGGAUUUCUGACUCUCAUGUUGAUGGUGAUGAUGAUGACAGCAGUCCUGCACUCUAUUAGAAACAGCCCCCGGUCCUCACUGCUCUCAGAGACUCUGCUUUAGAGCUCUUCCUCUCACUUUCCCCAACGCUCAUCAGCAAUGCUGGCAAGACACAUUCUGGCUGCUGUAAGGUCACUGGGAUAAAUGGGAAGGUUGGCCGAUUGCCUGAAAAUGAGUUUGGCUUAAAAGUUUCUUGCCCAAGAAAUGGAAAGAAAAAACCUGCUGGGAUAGCCAAGGGGAAAGAGAAGAGUGAGUGACCUCUUUAUAAAGAACUGCAGCCCUGGAAAUCUGACUAAUGGCUGAAGAGGGUACGUGAUGAUAACUCACAGCGGCCACUUGGAUUUAAUUAUAGCAACAUUUGCAGACAAUAAGUGGGUCUUGAGUGAAGCCUGCCUAUGAUAUGGCAGUGACAAAAGCUAAUCUGGAUUUCUAGCCAAAAGGAUGGAUGAGAAAUGACUUGGGAACAUUUCCUGUAGAAUAUUUUUGUUGUUGUUGUUAUCACCAUGGCCAAAUAUUUAUUAAGGUUCUUGGGGUGAAGAUGGUACUGUUCUAAAUUGUGGAAAGAGAAGUGGACUUGGAAUUAGAAAACCUGGGUUUACUUCUGGAGAUUUUACUUAUUCACUGGAUCUCAUUUUCAUUAUUUCAAAAUAGAAGCUGUGUUCUUUGCGGUCUUGAAAAUUAGUAAUUUUGAGACUACAGGUUCGGCUAAGGGCUGCUGCAGUACCUGAAGAUAUCAACAGUAAAGACUACAAAACAGCAAAGAUGGUGAUCUGCCCCUUCUUUUGGGAGCUCCAGGCCAGAUGUUUUAUCCUGCUAUGUUAAGUCAUCUUGACAUGUUGCCAUGAAAUGGAAACAACUGCUCGUUUUAAUAUUGCUCCAUAUCUUUAUUACAAGGUCUGAUUAUAAAAGGAGAAUUGGAGGCUUACCAAACAUCUGAAGAGCUUUCCAGAAGUUUGGUCACUUCUGAAUUAGAGAAGUUAAAACCCAAUCACCUACUAAUGCUGUGGGAAAGUUCUGCAGGUGAUACAUCACAGGGGCUCAUGAAUGUGUCUUAAGCUGGGUCAUUGAAGUGGAAUGUUUUCACAAGACCUCCUCCACUUGCUACUGUGUCCGGAAUUGGUGGGUUCUUGGUCUCACUGACUUCAAGAAUGAAGCCGCGGACCCUCGCGGGAGUGGCAAAUCAAAGGCAUUGCAGCCUCUUUCAUCACUGCCGAUUGCUGAUGCCAACCAUGUGCCAAGUGCUUAAUACGUCACCUUAAAUCUUCUCAUCCACCCUCAGAGUAGCUGCAGCAUCAACCCAGUGCCCUGACUUUCAAGACGACUAUGAAAACACCCCAACUGCUGCUAAAUUACCAGCAACAAGGAUCUGGAAUUUUCCUGACAAGAGCAGUGCCUAUCCUGAGGCAAUCGUAUUUCUCCUUGACUUCUCUCCAGUAUCAGCUUGUUGCUUGACACCCCUGCACAGCCAACUGUGUAAUGUGGGUGAGUCUAGCUGCAUUUUCUUCAGACACAAGCCUGGCUACCCAGUGCUAAGGUGACAUCAGGCCAGGCCACAACAUUCUUAUUCAAAAGAAAGAACACCGAAAUUGACCUUACCCUGACAAUAUGAUGGCUGAAGGAUUUAUGAUCACUUAUAACAUUUGAAAUUGAGGCGGAACCUGAAGAAUAAGACUCUGGUGAAAGGUCCUAUUUAUGCUUUUGAUGUCUUUCACUUGGACAUUUACCACAUGCCUAUUGGUAGGUUUGUUACAUAGGUCAGUUAAGGUGAUACAAGAAUAAAUAAAACACUAUCCCUAUCCUUUAAUAUCAUUUAUUUAUGGGGUCAAUCACAGAUUUUCAUUUUUCAAAAUCUUUGAUAAAUGUCAGAAUUAUGUUUUUUAAUAUUUUUACAGAAUUAUUACAAUAUAUGGUAGAGGAUGGAAGGCAAGGUAGUAUGAAACGGAAAAGAUAUUUUGAAUUAAGGUAUUUGGACCUGGAUUAAUAUUUUUGCUUUGGUCUUUAUUAGCUGAGUGACCUUGAGAAAGUUCUUCUACUAAAAAAGAACAAAGAUAAUAAUUACUUCAUGAAAUUGCUGUAAAAAACACAUAACAAGUAUAUCCAGACUCAACAGUGUAUGCUCAAAAAUGCAGAUCCUUUUUCCCUUACCUGCAAAUAAAGUCUUACAGUAAUACAGUGGGGGUAAAGGUUUAAACUGGUGGAUUCAAGAAGGGCUAUAGAAAGAGGUAGCAUCUUAAUAGGGGAAGGAGAGGAUCCAAGAAAUCAGAUCCAUUUUCUACAAAAAGAAAUGGGAAGACAGAUAAUUCAAGAAGAAAAGUUUACAUGAUUAAAGACCCGAAGUUAGAAAUAGUGAUGUGUCUCAAUAGUAAGUUAGGAAUUGGGGUGGACACAAUUGUUGGAAGAAGGAUGGUUUCAGCAAAGGCCCAAGUUAGGUGACAAUUUCAAGUGUUUGUGAAGAUAUAUGAACAAAAUUAUAAAGUAGUUAGGGUAUAAGAAAUAGGGAGGAGGGAAUGAAUUAACAUUUAUGGAGUGUCUUGCAUGUUCCAAGCACUGUACUACUUGCCUUAUAAACCUUUCUUCAAUAAACGCCUACAACAAUCCUGA